rnacentral:rRNA from 1 species
CCUACGUGCGGCAGCAGUAGGGAAUCUUCCACAAUGGGCGAAAGCCUGAUGGAGCAACGCCGCGUGGGUGAAGAAGGUCUUCGGAUCGUAAAACCUUGUUGUUAGAGAAGAAAGUUCGUGAGAGUAACUGUUCACGUUUCGACGGUAUCUAACCAGACAGCCACGGCUAACUCCGUGCCAGCAGCCGCGGUAAUACGUAGGUGGCAAGCGUUAUCCGGAUUUAUUGGGCGUAAAGGUAACGCAGGCGGUUUGUUAAGUCUGAUGUGAAAGCCUUCGGCUCAACCGGAGGAGUGCAUUGGAAACUGGCAGACUUGAGUGCAGAAGAGGAGAGUGGAACUCGAUGUGUAGCGGUGAAAUGCGUAGAUAUAUGGAAGAACACCAGUGGCGAAAGCGGCUUUCUGGUCUGUAACUGACGCUGAGGUUCGAAAGCGUGGGUAGCAAACAGGAUUAGAUACCCCAGUAGUC